AUCGCUUCUUGGCCUUUUGGCUAAGAUCAAGUGUAGUAUCUGUUCUUAUCAGUUUAAUAUCCUGCAAGGGGGCCCCACCACCU
rnacentral:snRNA from 1 species